UACAGAGGGUGCAAGCGUUGUUCGGAAUUACUGGGCGUAAAGGGCGCGUAGGCGGCCGAUCAAGUCAGAUGUGAAAGUCCUGGGCUUAACCUGGGGACUGCAUUUGAUACUGAUUGGCUUGAAUUCGGGAGAGGAUAGCGGAAUUCCCAGUGUAGAGGUGAAAUUCGUAGAUAUUGGGAAGAACACCGGUGGCGAAGGCGGCUAUCUGGACCGACAUUGACGCUGAUGCGCGAAAGCGUGGGGAGCAAACAGG
rnacentral:rRNA from 1 species